GACGAACGCUGGCGGCGUGCUUAACACAUGCAAGUCGAACGGUAAGGCCCUUCGGGGUACACGAGUGGCGAACGGGAGAGUAACACGUGGGUGAUCUGCCCUGCACUUCGGGAUAAGCCUGGGAAACUGGGUCUAAUACCGGAUAGGACCCUGGGAUGCAUGUCCUGGGGUGGAAAGCUUUUGCGGUGGGGGAUGGGCCCGCGGCCUAUCAGGUUGUUGGUGGGGUGAUGGCCUACCAAGGCGACGACGGGUAGCCGGCCUGAGAGGGUGACCGGCCACACUGGGACUGAGAUACGGCCCAGACUCCUACGGGAGGCAGCAGUGGGGAAUAGUGCACAAUGGGCGCAAGCCUGAUGCAGCGACGCCGCGUGAGGGAUGACGGCCUUCGGGUUGUAAACCUCUUUCAGCACCGACGAAGCGCAAGUGACGGUAGGUGCAGAAGAAGGACCGGCCAACUACGUGCCAGCCGCCGCCGUAA
rnacentral:rRNA from 1 species